rnacentral:rRNA from 1 species
GAUGAACGCUGGCGGCGUGCCUAAUACAUGCAAGUCGAGCGAAUGGAUUAAGAGCUUGCUCUUAUGAAGUUAGCGGCGGACGGGUGAGUAACACGUGGGUAACCUGCCCAUAAGACUGGGAUAACUCCGGGCAACCGUGGCUACUACAGGAUAAUAUUUUGAACUGCAUGGUUCAAAAUUGAAAGGCGGCUUCGGCUGUCACUUAUGGAUGGACCCGCGUCGCAUUAGCUAGUUGGUGAGGUAACGGCUCACCAAGGCAACGAUGCGGAGGCGACCUGGGAGGGAGAUCGGCCACACUUGGACUGAGACACGGCCCAGACUCCUACGGGAGGGAGCAGUAGGGAAUCUUCCGAAAUGGACGAAAGUCUGACGGAGCAACGCCGCGUGAGUGAUGAAGGCUUUCGGGUCGUAAAACUCUGUUGUUAGGGAAGAACAAGUGCUAGUUGAAUAAGCUGGCACCUUGACGGUACCUAACCAGAAAGCCACGGCUAACUACGUGCCAGCCGCCGCCGUAA